CAAGGAAUUUUCGGCAAUGGGGGCAACCCUGACCGAGCAACGCCGCGUGCAGGAUGACGGCCUUCGGGUUGUAAACUGCUUUUGCGAGGGAUGAUUUGGACAGUACCUCGUGAAUAAGGCUCGGCUAACUCUGUGCCAGCAGCCGCGGUAAGACAGAGGAGCCAAGCGUUGUCCGGAUUUACUGGGCGUAAAGCGCACGCAGGUGGUUGCGCACGUGCCGUGUGAAAGCCGGCGGCUUAACUGCCGGAGGCCAUGGCAGACUGCGCGACUUGAGGCCGUGAGAGGUCCGUGGAAUUGCCGGUGUAGUGGUGAAAUGCGUAGAGAUCGGCAGGAACACCCAAGGGGAAACCAGCGGACUGGCACGGUGCUGACACUGAGGUGCGAAAGCGUGGGGAGCGAACUGGAUUAGAUACCCAGGUAGUCCACGCCGUAAACGAUGGAUACUCGCCCUGUGGCGGCUCAAUGCCGUUGCGGGGCCAAGCUAACGCGAUAAGUAUCCCGCC
rnacentral:rRNA from 1 species